CAUUCAAAGAGUGCGUAACAGCUCACUGGUCGAGUGGACAUGCGCCGACAAUACACGGGGCUAAGCUGGACACCGAAGCGGCGGGAUUUUAAUUCAUUAGAAUCGGUAGGGGAGCUUCCCAUGGGCGGAGAAGCCGGAGGGCGACCGACGGUGGAGCGCAUGGGAGUGAGAAUGCUGGCAUGAGUAGCGAGAGACGAGAGAGUAACUCGUCCGCCGUGAACCCGAGGUUUCCUGGGCAAGGCUAAUCCUCCCAGGGUCAGUCGGGGGCUAAGGCGAGGCCGGGAGGCGUAGCCGACGCGCAGCAGGCAGACAUUCCUGCACCGCGCACGCGGCGCUACGACCGACGGGGCGACGGAUGGGGGUGGCUCGGCGGGGUUCUGGACGUCCCCGUGAUGGAGCGCGGCCCGCGGACCAGGGAAAUCCGGUCCGCACACAGGGCGAGGCUCCGGACGAAGCGACUGAGCGAAGCGAGUGAGCCCGAGGUCCCUAGAAAAACCCCUAGGCAGGCGCGUGCGCGCCCGUACCGCAAACCGACACAGGUGGGUGGGUAGAACAUACCGAGGCGAUCGGGUCAACCAUGGUCAAGGAACUCGGCACAAUGGCCCCGUAACUUCGGGAGAAGGGGUGCCCGCGCGUACGUGAACCGGCUUGCCCGGGGAGCGGAGGCGGGCCGCAGUGGAGAGGCCCAAGCGACUGUUUACCAAAAACACAGGACUCUGCAGAAGCCGCAAGGCGACGUAUAGGGUCUGACGCCUGCCCGGUGCCGGAAGGUCACGCGGAGGAGUUAGCGCAUCGCGCGAAGCCCCGAAGCCAAGCCCCGGUAAACGGCGGCCGUAACUAUAACGGUCCUAAGGUAGCGAAAUUCCUUGUCGGGUAAGUUCCGACCUGCACGAAAGGCGCAACGACUUGGGCGCUGUCUCGACCAUGGACCCGGUGAAAUUGCACUGGUCGUGAAGAUGCGACUUACCCGCGGAAGGACGGAAAGACCCCGUGAACCUUCACUGCAGCUUGGCAUUGGCCGCUGGUCCCGCGUGUAGAGGAUAGGCAGGAGGCAUCGAUCCGGAGGCGCCAGCCCCCGGGGAGCCGCCCUUGGAAUACUGCCCUCGCGCGACCGGCGUCCUAACCCGAGGCCGUCAACCGGCUCGGGGACCGUGCCAGGCGGGCAGUUUGACUGGGGCGGUCGCCUCCUAAAGGGUAACGGAGGCGCGCGAAGGUCCGCUCGGGACGGUCGGCAACCGUCCUUUUGAAUGCAAGAGUACAAGCGGGCUUGACUGCGAGGCCCACAAGCCGAGCAGGUGCGAAAGCAGGCUCUAGUGAUCCGGCGGCCCCGAGUGGGUGGGCCGUCGCUCAACGGAUAAAAGGUACUCCGGGGAUAACAGGCUGAUCUUGCCC
rnacentral:rRNA from 1 species